rnacentral:pre_miRNA from 1 species
AGUGGGAUAGCUGGGUCAAAUGGUGGUUCCAUUCCCAGUUUUCUAAGGAAUCUUCACACUGCUUUCCAUAGUGGUUGCACCAAUCUGCAAUCCCACCAGCAAU